UACAGAGGGUGCAAGCGUUAAUCGGAAUUACUGGGCGUAAAGAGCACGUAGGUGGUGGUUCAAGUUGGAUGUGAAAGCCCCGGGCUUAACCUGGGAAGGUCAUCCAAGACUGAGCGACUAGAGUAUAGUAGAGGGAAGUGGAAUUUCCGGUGUAGCGGUGAAAUGCGUAGAUAUCGGAAGGAACACCAGUGGCGAAGGCGGCUUCCUGGACCGGUUCUGGCACUGAGGAGCGAAAGCGUGGGGAGCGAUCCGG
rnacentral:rRNA from 1 species